GGUAGUGGUGGCUUAGUGGUUAAGGCUUUGGGUUACUGAUCGGACGGUUUUUGGGUUCAAGCCCCAGCACUGCCA